rnacentral:rRNA from 1 species
GCCAGACUCCUACGGGAGGCAGCAGUGGGGAAUAUUGCACAAUGGGGGAAACCCUGAUGCAGCGACGCCGCGUGAAGGAUGAAGUAUUUCGGUAUGUAAACUUCUAUCAGCAGGGAAGAAAAUGACGGUACCUGACUAAGAAGCCCCGGCUAACUACGUGCCAGCAGCCGCGGUAAUACGUAGGGGGCAAGCGUUAUCCGGAUUUACUGGGUGUAAAGGGAGCGUAGACGGCAGCGCAAGUCUGAAGUGAAAUCCCAUGGCUUAACCAUGGAACUGCUUUGGAAACUAAGCAGCUAGAGUGCAGGAGAGGUAAGCGGAAUUCCUAGUGUAGCGGUGAAAUGCGUAGAUAUUAGGAGGAACACCAGUGGCGAAGGCGGCUUACUGGACUGUAACUGACACUGAGGCUCGAAAGCGUGGGGAGCAAACAGGAUUAGAUACCCCAGUAGU